GAUGAACGCUGGCGGCGUGCUUAACACAUGCAAGUCGAACGGUGAAAGAGAGCUUGCUCUCUGGAUCAGUGGCGAACGGGUGAGUGACACGUGAGCAAUCUGCCCCUGACUCUGGGAUAAGCGCUGGAAACGGCGUCUAAUACCGGAUACGAGCUGCGAAGGCAUCUUCAGCAGCUGGAAAGAACUUCGGUCAGGGAUGAGCUCGCGGCCUAUCAGCUAGUUGGUGAGGUAAUGGCUCACCAAGGCGUCGACGGGUAGCCGGCCUGAGAGGGUAAACGGCCACACUGGGACUGAGACACGGCCCAGACUCCUACGGGAGGCAGCAGUGGGGAAUAUUGCACAAUGGGCGCAAGCCUGAUGCAGCAACGCCGCGUGAGGGACGACGGCCUUCGGGUUGUAAACCUCUUUUAGCAGGGAAGAAGCGAAAGUGACGGUACCUGCAGAAAAAGCACCGGCUAACUACGUGCCAGCCGCCGCCGUAAGAC
rnacentral:rRNA from 1 species